GCUGAUUUGGUGGUGCUGAAUUCUCUUAGCUUUUGCUUGUCUGUAAAGGUUUUAAUUUCUCCAUCAAAUCUGAAUGAGAUCUUUGCUUGGUAGAAUAAUCUUGGUUGUAGGUUUUUCCCUUUCAUCACUUUAAAUAUGUCCUGCCACUCCCUUCUGGCUUGCAGAGUUUCUGCUGAAAGAUCAGCUGUUAACCUUAUGGGGAUUCCCUUGUGUGUUAUUUGUUGUUUUUCCCUUGCUGCUUUUAAUAUUUUUUCUUUGUAUUUAAUUUUUGAUAAUUUGAUUAAUAUGUGUCUUGGCAUGUUUCUCCUUGGAUUUAUCCUGUGUGGGACUCUCUGUGCUUCCUGGAGGUGAUUAACUAUUUCCUUUCCCAUAUUAGGCAAGUUUUCAACUGUAAUCUCUUCAUAUAUUUUCACAGUCCCUUUCUUUUGCUCUUCAUCUUCUGGGACCCCUGUAAUUCGAAUGUUGGUACAUUUAAUGUUGUCCCAGAGGUCUCUCAGACUGUCCUCAAUUCUUUUCUUUUUUUUUCUUUAUUCUGCUCUGCAGUAGUUAUUUCCACUAUUUUAUUUUCCAGGUCACUUUUCUGUUCUUCUGCCUCAGUUAUUCUGCUAUUGAUCCCUUGUAGGGAAUUUUUAAUUUCAUUUAUUGUGUUGUUCAUCACUGUUUGUUUGCUCUUUAGUUCUCUUAGGUCCUUGUUACAUGUUUCUUGUCUUUUCUCCAUUCUAUUUCCAAGAUUUUGGGUCAUCUUUACUAUCAUUAUUCUGAAUUCUUCUUCAGGUAGACUGCCUAUUUCCUCUUAAUUUGUUAGGUCUGGUGGGUUUUUACCUUGCUCCUUCAUCUGCUAUGUGUUUUUCUGUCUUCUCAUUUUACUUAACUUACUGUGUUUGGGGUCUCCUUUUCACAGGCUGCAGGUUCGUAGUUCCUGUUGUUUUUGGUGUCUAUCCCCAGUGGCUAAGGUUUGUUUAGUGGGUUGUGCAGGCUUCCUGGUGGAGUGGAUUUGUGCCUGUGUUCUGGUGGAUGAGGCUCGAUCUUGUCUUUCUGGUGGGCAGCUCCAUGUCUGGUGGUGUGUUUUGGGGUGUCUGUGGCCUUAUUAUGAUUUUAGGCUGCCUCUCUGCUAAUGGGUGGGGUUGUGUUCCUGUUUUGCUAGUUGUUUGGCAUAGGGUGUCCAGCACUGGAGCUUGCUGGUUGUUCAGUGGAGCUGGGUCUUGGCAUUGACAUGGAGAUCUCUGGGAGAUUUUUGCUGUUUGAUAUUACGUGGAGCUGGGAGGUCUCUUGUGGACCAGUGUCCUGAAAUUGGCUCUCCCACCUCAGAGGCACAGCCCUGACGCCUGACUGGAGCACCAAGAGCCUGUCAUCCACAUAUCUCAGAAUCAAAGGGAGAAAUAAAAAAGAAAGAAAGAAAGAAGAAGAUCAAAUAAAGUGAUUAAAAUAAAAAUUUAAAAAUAAUUAUUGAAAAAUAUUUUUAAAGUAAUUAAAACAGAAAGAAAGAAGAGAGCAACCAAACCAAAAAACAAAUCCACCAAUGAUAACAAGCGCUAAAAAGUAUACUAAAAAAACAAAAACACUGAUAGACAGAACCCUAGGACAAAUAGUAAAAGCAAAGCUAUACAGACAAAAUCACACACAGAAUCAUACACAUACACACUCACAUAAAGAGAAAAAGGGAAAUAUAUAUAUAUAUCGUUGCUCCCACAGUCCACUUCCUCAAUUUGGGAUGAUUCGUUGUCUAUUCAGUUAUUCCACAGAUGUAGGGUACAUCAAGUUGACUGUGGAGAUUUAAUCCACUGCUCCUGAGGCUGCUGGGAGAGAUUUCCCUUUCUCUUCUUUGUUCGCACAGCUCCCGGUGUUCAGCUUUGGAUUUGGCCCCGCCUCUGCACGUAGGUCGCCUGAGGGUUCGCUCAGAUAGGACGGAGUUAAAGGAGCAGCUGAUUCAGGGGCUCUGGCUCACUCAGGCGGUGGGGAGGGAGGGGCAAGCCUACGGUGGCAGAGCCGGGCGUGACAUUGCAACAGCCUGAGGCACGCCGCGUGUUCUCCUGGGGCAGUUGUGCCUGGAUCACGGCACCCUGGCAGUGGCGGGCUGCACAGGCUCUCGAAGGGGAGGUGUGGAUAGUGACCUAUGCUCGCACACAGGCUUUUUGGUGGCGGCAGCAGCAGCCUUAGCAUCUCAUGCCCAUCUCUGGGGUCCGCGCUGAUAGCCACAGCUCGCACCCGUCUCUGGAGCUCCUUUAAAUGGCCCUCUCCUCGCGUACCAGGGAACAAAGAGGCUAGAAAAAUUCUCUUGCCUCUUCGGCAGUUCCAGACUUUUUCCCAGACUCCCUUCCGGCUAGCUGUGGUGCACUUGCCCCCUUCAGGCUGUUUCAUCCAGCCAACUCCAGUCCUCUCCCUGGGGUCUGAGCUCUGAAGCCUGAAGCCCAAGCCUCAGCUCCCAGCCCCCACCCGCCCCAGCAGGCAAGCAGACAACCUCUUGGGCUGGUGAGUGCUGGUCGGCACCGAUCCUCUCUGCAGGAAUCUCUACGCUUUGCCCUCUGCACCCCUGUUGCUGUGCUCUCCUCCGUGGCUCUGAAGUCUCUCCCCUCCGCCACCCGCAGUCUCCACCCGUGAAGGGGCUUCUAGUGUGUGGAAACCUUUCCUCCUUCACAGCUCCCUCCCACUGGUGCAGGUCCCGUCCCUAUCCUUUUAUCUCUGUUUAUUCUUUUUUCUUUUGCCCUACCCAGGUGCGUGGGGAGUUCUUGCCUUUUGGGAGGUCUCCUGUCUUCUGCCAGCAUUCAAUAGGUGUUCUUUAGGAGUUGUUCCACAUGUAGAUGUAUUUCUGAUGUAUUUGUGGGGAGGAAGGUGAUCUCCACGUCUUACUCUUCCGCCAUCUUGAAGCUCCCCCUAGCAUUUUGACUAGAGAUUUGGGGGGGCUUUUUUUUUUUUUGUCUGCACCCUGUCGCAUUCCUGAAUUGUUGGCUUCUUCAGCUCUAAGUCUAGGAUAUACAAGGCAAAAAGAAAACCCAAAGAACUGACCAGCAUUUUGUUCCUUGGGUCCUGUGAUAUUGUGAUUUAUAAUGAACAUAUAUUUAGUCUUUGUCCCUAUUUCUGGCACAGAGCUCCUAAAAUCCUUGUAAUUUCCUGUAAUGAAAGAUAAAGGUGUCUCUUGUUAUGUUUGGACAAUGGCUAAGGAUGAGGACUGGUUGCCAGGAGAACCAACCAUGUGAUUAGAGGGUUGGAAUUUUCAGUCCCACCCCUACCUCCCCAACUUCCAGGGAGUGGAGAGGGGCUGGAGAUUGAGUUCAAUCACCAGUGGCCAGUGAUUUAAUCAAUCAUGCCCAUGUAACGAGGCCUCCAUAACAGCCCAAAGGGCAAGGUUCAGAGAGCUUCUGGGAUGGUGAACACUCGGAGAUAUGGGGAGAGUGGCACACCUAGAGAGGGCAUGGAGGCUCCUUAUUUGUCCCCCAUACCUUGCCCUAUGCAUCUUUUCCAUCUGGCUGUUCCUGAAUUAUAUCCUUUUAUAAUAACCUGGUAAUCCAAUAAAUAAAAUGUUUCUCUUGAAUUCUGUGAGCAGCUCUAGCAAAUUUAUCAAACCCAAGGAAGGGGUCAUUGGAAUCUAUAUCCUAUCAGAAGCCCAGGUGACAACUUGAACUUGAGAUUGGCAUCUGAAGUGAAGGGAUCAGUCUUGUGGAUCUGAGCCAUUAACAUGUGGAAUCUAGUGCUAUCUCCAGGUAAACAGUGUCAGAAUUGAGUUGAAUUGUAGGACACCCAGCUGGUGUCCAAGAAUUCCAUGAUGGGGGACUUCCCUGGUGGCCCAGUGGUUAAGAAUCCGCCUGCCGUGCAGGGGACAUGGGUUCAAGCCCUGGUCCGGGAAGAUCCCACAUGCUACAGAGCAACUGAACCCGUGCACCACAACUGCUAAGCCUGCAUUCUGGAGCCCGCAAGCCACGACUACUGAGCCCACAUGCUGCAACUACUGAAGCCUGCGUGCCUAGAGCCCGUACUCUGCAUCAAGAGAAGCCACCACAGUGAGAAGCCCACACACUGCAACGAAGAGUAGCUCCUGCUCGCCAACUAGAGAAAGCCCGCACGCAGCAAUGAAGACCCAACGCAGCCCAAAAUUAAUUAAUUAAUUACCAAAAAAAACCCACGAAUUGCAUGAUGGUGUGGGGAAACCCCACCUCCCACACACUGAAAGAAGUACCCUUUCUUCCCUUCUUGAGCUGGUAAGUAUCAAUUUAUGUCUUCUAUAUUUUAGGAAGUAUCCCCACAUUCUAAAGUACUAGUGUUAAAUAGUCUGUUUUCCUUACAUGUACACACACACAGGGAGACAGCCCAGUCCACUGGCUUUGGAGUACCUGGGUUUAAAUUUAUGGGUUCAAAUUCAGCUCCUUGCCAGGUAUCUGACCAAAGGUUGUUAUUUAUAACUCUCUCAGUGCUUGAUUACCCUCUUUUUUUUGUUUUGUUUUGUUUUUUUUGGCUACACCAUGUGGCUUACAGAAACUUAGUUCCCCAACCAGGGAUUGAACCCUGGCGCCACGGCGGUGAAAACACCGAGUCCUAACGCCUGGACAGCCAGGGAAUUCCUGCUUACCCUCAUUUUCUAAUAGCAAGAAUAUUGUAAGGAAUAAAUGAAAAAUGUCUGCUAAAGUUUCUACCACAGUUCCUAGCAUUUUGAUCCAUGAAGGAUAACUGUUGGUAUAAUAAUAUUUAUAUUAUAUAUAAUGUAUUAAUAUAAAAUAUUAUUAUUGGCCUUCCACACCCUUCUCAAUCUCUUCAACUGACAAGCACUCACCUAACCACUCUGUCUUUAUCCAUUCCUGUUGGCAUAUUUUCUAGCUUCCACUUCUGUGCCAAUGAGAUCUACAUUCAGAAUUCCAAGUCUGAAGUAUCCUGGCUUUAUACCUGUGUAGGAUAAUCUUUAUUUGGUUUCUAUAUCAGUCAACAAUUGCCACACUAAUCCUGUAUAAUGAAACACCCCAAAACUCAGUAGCUUAACAGAACCAUCAUUUAUUCUCAUUCUUAAGUCUAUAGGUUGGCUGGGAGUCAGCUGGUCCAGGCUCGACUGGAUCCAAGCGCAAAUUACAUAUAGGUCUUUUCCACAUGUCUCUCUCAUCCUCCCUAGACCACAGGGCUACCCAAGACAAUUUCUUAUCAUAGUGAUGACAGAAGCUUCUGAAGGGGCAGUAGAAACACAUGACUGUUAAGCUUAGUCUCAGGGCUGGUACACUGUCACUUGUGCCUACCUCAUUGGCAAGAGCAAGUCAUAUGACUAUGCCCAACAUCAGUGGGGCAGAGAAAUAGACUGUAGCUUCAGUGGAAGCAUAUGGAAAGUCACACAGCAAAGAGCAGAGAUAUGGAGAGGGUUGAAGAAUUGGCAACAAUAAUGCAAUUGAGCAUAGUUUCCUAUACUCCUCUUGCUGAUCCUCAAUUUCUUGUUGGCCCAUUAUGUGCCUCAGCCUCACACUUCAGAGCCCAGGCUUGAGUAACAUUGUUUUCUUUCCUGCAUCAGAGUGAUUGACCAGAACCCAUUGUUCAUUUACCAAACAAUAAACAAGGCAUAAUGGGGGAAACAAUCAUGUGUGAAGCCUGGUUCCUGCUCUCAAGGUAUUCCCAGACUGGUGUAGAAGGUAGAACAAAAGAAUAAAUAAUUCUACUAGAAAGCAGAAUGUGGGGGGCACCCUAAAAUAUAAAUGUGAUAAAUUUACCAUAUGACCCCACAAUUCCACUCCUAGGUAUCUGUAUGCAGUAAAUGAAAAUGUCUACCCACAAAAAAAACUUGUACAUGAACGUUUACAGUAUUAUUAUUUAUAAAUGUCAGUAAGUGAAAACAACACAAAUGUUCAUUAACUAAUGAAUGGACAAGGAAAAUGUGGUAUAUUCAUACAAUGGAAUAUUAUUUGGUAAUUAAAAAGAAUGAUGUACUGGUACAUGCUAAAGCAUGGAUGAAUCUCAAAAACAUUAUGAUAAGUGAAAGAAGCCAGACACAGAAGACCCCACAUAUUGUACAACUGCAUUUGUAUGAAAAGUCCAGACAUCAAAUCAAUUGAGACAGAAAGUAGAUUAGUUGUUGUCAGGGCCUGCAAGUGGGCAAGGGGAUCUUGUUGGGCUUAUCGAAAUGUUCUAAAACUGAAUUGUGGUAAUGGCUGCACAAUUUGUUAUAGUUACUAAAAUUCAUUGAAUUGGGUGAAUUGAAAUGGGUGAAUUUUGGGCUUCCCUGGUGGUGCAGUGGUUGAGAGUCCGCCUGCCGAUGCAGGGGACGCAGGUUCGUGCCCCUGUCCGGGAGGAUCCCACAUGCCGCGGAGCGGCUGGGCCCAUGAGCCAUGGCCGCUGAGCCUGCGCGUCCGGAGCCUGUGCUCUGCAGCGGGAGAGGCCACAGCAGUGAGAGGCCCGCGUACCGCCAAAAAAAAAAAAAAAAAAGAAAGAAAGAAAUG